AAAAUCAAACAGAAACCGGGCUUUUGUAUGGUUAGGGGCAUAAGCAGUAGGGAAAGUUGGUCAGAUGAGAGGGAGUAAACCACGGUGUGACCAGCUGGUUUCAGAAGAAAUGUGUCUCUGUGGCCCACCAAUUUGGGGGAUAAACUGAAAAGCAUGUUCUGUGUUUUAGAAUUUGCUUGGAUUUGGGGACAAGUUCAGGGUCCUGUGUGGAGGAGAGAAGUCGAACUCCAGUUUGUUAAAGACAAAGCAGAGGGUUCCCUUUGACUAGGAAGCAGACAUCAGGCCGAAAUAAGUCCAAUAUGUGAACGGGACCCUCUCCAGAGCACAGGCUCCGGAUAAGCAGGCUCAGCGUCCAUGGCUCACGGGCCCAGCGGCUCCGCGAAAUGUGGGAUAUUCCCGGACCAGGGCACGAACCCAUGUGCCCUGCAUCGGCAGGCGGACUCUCAACCACUGUGCCACCAGGGAAGCCCGCUUAAGACAACUUUUAAUGAUUUUAUAACAAUAUCACAGAGUGUAUGGUUAAAAACUGAAAUACUAAUUUUUAAAACUGACUGAAAAAUGAAUACAAUUGGUCUUAAAGAUCAGGGAGUGUUCCACUGAAGGAGGUGGGAGGAGGAAGACCAUUUAGGGUUUGGGUAGAUAAGUGAUGGAGGGAGUUUCAGCAUUAGACUGAGCUAGAGCAAAGGCAGGGAAGCCCAGAAGUCAACUCAGUUUUAGGAGAUGGUGGGAAGCAGAGCCAUUCGAGUUAAGGUAUCAUGCUUGAAAAUUUUGGGCAUACGUCUGGAAAAUUAGAUCAAUGGAAAAUAAGGCCAGUGCUCCUUGAAUUUCCCAGUGAAGAAUAUGAAAUUUACCCAAGAGAUAAUAUGGAGCAAUAAGAGUUCUGAGCACAGGAAAUCCAUGAAUAGUGUGGUAUUUUUUAACUUAAUUUUUCUGGAAAUUAUGUUCAUAAUGAAUCCAAGUUCAGAGAUAGUAGAAGCAGGGAGAGCAAACGGGAGGCUACUGUAUGAAGCCAGGUAGACAAUGAUUUAUACUAAAAUGGUAGUUGUUGAACUAAAAAAGAAAAAAAAUAGAUAUGUGAGGAAAUGGUGAGAUUUCUGACAGAAUUUAUUUAUACAAACAUAAUUUUAAGCUAAACAAUUCUUUUAAAUUAGAUAAGAAUAAGAAGUCCUAUAAAACCUUUACAAUUUCAGUUUUCUUUAAGUGUUCUUUACAUGCACAUACCUUUUCUUCAUUCAACAAAGUAUUUAUUGAGUGCAUAAUAUAGGCAUUGUUCUAGGAGCUUGGGAUUCAGUGGUGAACAAAGUUCACCAUGAGUUCAAACAAAGAUUGAACUCAUGAAUUUUACAUUCUAGAUGGAGGACAAAGGAUAUAAACAAUAAACAUAAUUAAUAAGUAAAUUAUCCACUAUGUUUGAAAGAGGAUAACAUAUGGAAACAAGAAAAAAGUAGAACAGGAUAGUAGGGAUUAAGGGUGAUAGGCUGAGGACAAGUUGCAGUGCAAAAUAGAGUGGUCAGCAUAGACCUCACAGAGAAGGUGACAUUGAGCAGAGAGUUAAGGAGGAAAGAGAGCUGGUCCCACAGAUAUUUAGGGGAAGAAUGUUCCAGAAAGAACAAACAACUAGUACAAAGUCCCUUAGCCUCCCUGGCACGUUGGAAGAGGCCAGCAUGGCUAGAGAUUUAAGAUAUUGUUUUUAAAGUCUGAUGGAAACUUAUAGCAAAUCACAUUAAUUCAUAUUUAUGCAACUCUUUGAGGCUUAACCAUAUUUGUACUGUUUAAGUCUUUUGGGGAAAAUAUUAUGUAUUUUUGGAUAUGGAGAACAGUCCUCUUCACACUUGAUGUCAGCCAGUAUUAUUAUUUUUUAUUAAUAUCAUUGAUUUUUGUAUGGAGAUUUCAUUUCUAUAUCUUUAUGGGAAGUUUUUUUUGAACUCCUUUGCCUGUUUUUUAGUUUAUGCUGCCACUAUAUUUCAGAAAGCGUUUCAGGCACUUACAAGAAUACAUAAAAUAUGACCCCGAAAAGGGAGCAGAAACAAAGUGCAGUGAGAUAUAAGGCUUAACAUGCACAUCAUAAUAUCCAUGUACCACAAAUUUUUCCCAAAGCUUACUAGUUUACAGUAAAAAAAGAAAAAAAAUCUUAUAGUUGAAUUGAUAGUAUCUAUUAGAUUAAAAAAAAAACAAAACUAGGAUAUAGGAAAAGUAUCACUGUUCUUUGUAAUAAGACCAGCCUGGAUUUUUCCUGAGGGUCCUCAAAAAAGAAUAUGAUGUGAUGAAAUAACAUUUUUUACAACAUCAUUGCCAAAGGUAUGAAUAGUGAGGAAACAAUGUUUCAUGGGAAAGGCAGUUUAAUUCAAGACUUCAAUUGAUUAUCUUGAGCACCUCUGGGAAAGGCAUGGGAUACACAUGAAAUAGUAUUUGUUUUAGCAAAAAGGAAUUUCAUUUUCUCACUUAGGAUGUCACAUAACCACAUAUUUACAAACUCUACAAAUUACAUCUUUGUUCCUUGUUCAGCACUGAAUUCAAACCAGGGAAACUUGGACGGGAUUCUCAUUUUUGUUACACAUCUUUAUAAAAAUGCUAAAGAAUAAGAGACUGGAACACUUUGUCUGGUGCUGGCAAGCUGCUGAGCCUGAGGACCACAGAGCCUAGAAGCCACAAUAUCACAACCAAUGUCAGGGUGGAAGGCUUAAUUGUCCCGUAGUCCAGUUUUGCCAAACUUGUUAAAUUUAGGGUUGUGGGAAACACUAAAUAUCAUUUGUAUAUGCAUCCAGGAAGGAACAACUUCUGAAUAACCAGCAAAUAAUAUCGGUAGCUGUAGAGCUGCUGCAAAGCAACAUUAUGAUAAAAAUCACAAAUUAAAAUACGCUACCUACUGAUAAUGCUCUUAAAAGUUGUUUUGAAAUAGUGGAAAAAUUUUUCAAUGGUAUUAUAGUAUGCAUUUGAUGUGGCGCCCAUUACAUAUCAUGAUUUAUAAUGCUUGCCUCACUCUCAUCUCUUAAUUAUAUGUCAUGUAUUAGUUAUAUGAAAAUCAGUGAAAAUCUCUACUCACUGACCACUGCUCACUGAGGACACAGAUAAUCACUUCAGUAUGUAAGGUAAUACUGAAAGAAGAAAUGGGAAAUUCUGAUGAACCUACUUUCAAGUGGGGAAACGACAAUACACAAAUCAAUUGGUUCUUACAGAUCUUAGAAAGAAGCAGAGAUUAAAGAUUUUUCUGCAGCUAUUCUGGGAACACGUAAAUGAAGUAUUUUCUCACCUUCAACUCUGCCAUCCAAAAAUAUACUAUGGAACAGCAUAAACAUCCAAAGAUUUUGUUGAUUUGAAAUCGAAAAUAGAAGAGGAAUCACAUUCAAUGGCACCUCGACUGAUAUAGUUCUAAAUUCAAUAAAUUCUUUUUCAGAUAUCAGUUCAGGACCUGAACUAACAGUCUUUUGCCCUAGAUUAAUAAUGUGUACAAAAGCGAAAAAUAAAUCCUUGCAACAAAUUUUACACUUUGCCAGAGCUUUCUGAUUCAAUUAACUUGUUACCACAAUAUGUUAAAAGGUGGAGGGAGGGGAAGUGUUUAUCCUAAGUGAUUAAGAUGAGUUAGGAGAGGGCAAGGAGGAGCCCUCCCAUACUUAGAGCCACAUCUCAUUUUAAUUUUCUUUCACUGGUUAUAAGCAUGAUGCGAAGAUUUUUAGUGGCCUUAAAAUAUUCCAGGAUAGCCAUUAGUGAAUAUGUUUAGAUUUGGGGAUUUCCUAUAGGGGACGUCAUAGUCUUUGGAGACAGAUGUGAUGUGAGCUCCAACUCUUCUGCUUAUGACCUGUGUGAUCUUGACAAGUGACUUCAUCUUAUUUUUUAUAGAUAUAAUGGAGAUAAUACACGACUCAUACAGUUACUAAAAGGAUUAAGUUAAAUGUCCUGUGCUGAUAACAGUGUUUUUUAACAUAAAUAUAUGAGGCAAAUCAAUUAGAUAAUAUAUAACGUUUGUUGCUUUGGAUUGUUUAAAGACAUAUGGAACAUUUGUAAAUGUAAUAUUUACACUCAUAAUGGAUCAUUUGUAAAGUGUAAUAAGACACUAUGUAAGCCUUCAAUAUUUACUGAUGCAAAAUCACUAUUAUAUUUACUUGUAUAUUAUCAUAUCAAAAUAA